CAAGAAUCAGUAAAUUAAGAAAGAUACAAAAUAAUAUCCCUUUUACCCAUGAUCUCCUCAACCGCCCCACGAUUUCUCCUCCUAACUCCCAUUUUUCCACUUCUUCAUGUUAGUGACUUUCCCACUUCCUCAUAUUAGUGACUUCCCCACUUCCUCAUGUUAGUGGUCAUGUCCCAAUCCCCACUUCCUCAUGUUAGUGCUCACUCCCUCAUGCCUCACAUCAUGCGCGCAUACACACAAUCACUGGCACACACACAGAGUCACAUAUAUUUUUGUUAACCAUUUGCACAUCUGGAUCGGGAACUCCUACAUAUGCAAAGAUACAGAUCAAAAAGCCAUAGGCCGGAUUACAAAGAGAUACACGGAUAGAGGACUGAAAAUUCCCAAACGUUCUGCUUUCUUCUUCUCCAAUUUUUCAUGAAGACAUCAUGAAACAAAUGACCCCUACCCAUUCUGAACAUAGCUCUUAUUCUGGACAGAAGAGGCUCCCCCUUUCCUUUGAUUCCCAUAUAAAAGAAACACACUCACACACGCAUAGAUACAGCAGGAAGUUUGCGGUGCCGUUGGAGGUUCUGUUUGUGUCGACCAAUUUUUGGCUGCGAUUCCGGCAGAAGUCUGCGGUUCCUGUUGCUCUGUUGCUUGUUCCACGUUUGCUGAAAGAAGCUGCCAAAGCUUAGUUGUAAUCAAAUUCAUAUAUUGAAAGAAAUUUGCUCAUGAGGGCAUGGAUGGCAAAACUUGGUUAAGGACCGCUAUUUUCCUAUACUUAAUUGCCAUUUCAACUAGUAGAGGUAAUCAUGAUUUUCAUAUUAUUGUAAUGAUGAAUGACUACUUUGACUAGAUUUGUUUAGUUUCAUAGGUGCUAAGUGUAGCAUGUUUUUCGAUUGGCUAUUUUUUCAUGCUUAAUUGUUUUUUUUUAAAUUAAAAAAAAGUGGUAGAGGUAAAUCAUUAUUUGUGAUAACUUUGAGUCAAUACUACUGAUUGAAUUUUAUUUUGGUCUGUGUUAAGUUUUAGUAUUCUUUUUUCUUGGAUAGUUCUGCAAUCCACUUGAAGAUGGCUAAACUUAACUUUUAACUGAUAGAGGUAAUUAUGAGUUACUACCAUCUAUUUGAUUGUAGGCAUUGAGCGCAUUAGGUUUUCUUGGAUUUACUUUACAAUCCAAUUUUAUGUAAUCGUGCCUAGAUUGCUUUAAUUGAGUAUAAAUCUUGUAAAAUAAUUUGAGGCAUGACAUGCCAAAUAAAACCCCUAAGCCCAUGACCUUCACAAAACUAGUUAGCUUUUAUAGAAAAUUUGAGGCAUGUCAUUUUCAUUAAAUAGACCAUGGCUCUCAUGUAAUUAAUUUUAACUCUUUAGAAAUCGAGGUGUGCCGUUAGUUGAAUUUUCCAUGGCCCUCGCAAACUUGAAAGUGUGUAGUUUCUUUAGGCGCGCUAUGUAAAUUAACUUCCCUAAACUCGGGUGUGCAUUUAUGUGACCCAAAUCCAAAUCUCAACAAAUAAAAUGUGUCAUGGGCCGCGGGUGUAUUUAUGUAGCGUGGCUUACGAUGUGUUUUAAAUGACUUUGAAUUUUUUUGAAAUAUUAAAAGCGGCUAAAAUAAUAGCACCCUUUUGCUUUUGCUUGUAAAUUAGCGGCUCAUAGUUCUUAGCUUAUUAUUUGCUAUUAGUUGAUUGUGCAGUAGUGAGAAAUUUGGAGAUCAAUUGGUGUACCAUUAUCUUUUUUUUUUUGCCACAAUUCCCUAUUAUUCUUGUUUGAAGUUCGUGUAUCAAGUUUCAGUGACUCAACUCUGUUUUGCUUGGUAAUGCUCGUUAUUGGUUUCUUGGAACACAUUUUGCAUGGAAAUUCGGGGGGUGCAUUUCAUGUGGCCCGAUCAUAACAACUUCAAACAAUAAUAAAAUAAAGAUGUCGCGAAUCGCGGGUGCAUUUCAUGUAGCGUGAUUCGCGGUGUGUGCCAAAACGGCAAGUGUACGACAAUCGUAACUUGUUCAAAAAAUAAUUCCAUAAAUCCUAAAAGCGGUAUAAAAUAAUUAAAAAGCGGUUAUAAAAGCUAAAAAAUACAUAAUAAGUUUAAAACAUGUAAUAAGUCAGAUAAUUAGGCUAAUUUUAAUAGUUUAAGCAACCGUGCUAAAACCACGGAACUCGGAAAUGUCUAACACCUUUUCCCGAGUUAACAGAAUUCCUUACCCGGAUUUCUGUGUUCGCGGACUGUAAUACAGAGUCAAUCCUUUCCUCGAUUCGGGAUUUGAACUGGUGACUUGGAACACCAUAAAAUUACCCAAGUGGCGACUCUGAAUCUAAUAAAAUAAUCCCGUUUCGAUUGUCACUUAAAUUGGAAAAAACUCCCAUAUACCCCUUCCGGGGGUGUAGGAAAAAAGGAGGUGUGACAGCUCUGGCGACUCUACUGGGGAAAAUGAACCCAGAAUCUCCGGUUCAGGGUUCAAGAAUUUGAGCUUAGAAUAACUGUUAUAUUUGGCUUUAUUUAUUAUCUGGUUUUAUUCACAUGUUUGGGCCUAAUGUGCUAAAUGUUGCUUUUUACCGCUUUGAUAUUGUUGAACUGUAUAUAAAAUUGCUACGAAUCCCUCCUCUCUCUGAGUCUUCUAAAUCAUCUGGGAAAUGUGCACUUCGUGUGACUUCUUUUCUGUUAGAGUCAUAUCCCAAUUUUAGAACGAGGUUCGGACAAGUUGCAAAGCUGGUGAAGCUUCUGUAUUCCCGGUACGCUGCCCUCCUCGGCUCGAGCUGUCCGCUCGGGUAAGCCAGGUCUAGAACAAUAAACCCAGGUUUUCAAACCUAGUAUAACAUAGCCUCAUGCCGGAUCCCUAGUAGAAACACUUGUUUGCAUCAUGUGCAUUUGACGUUGGGGACUCAACACAGGGGUUGGGUCCAUCUAGGACAGGUGUACCCAAAAAAACAGACCAUCUUGAUGCAUCUUAUGUGUUACAUGUUGCCUUUUUAAGGGUAAAAUGGUCAUUUGGCGGACCAAUGAUAAUUGAGGGUGAAUGAAAAAUGAGAAGAAAAAAAAUAAAAAAAAGAGGGUGAAGUGUGUAAUGAAGCAAGUGGGGCGUAGUUAUAAUUUUCUUUCACACUUUUUCAAGAAAAAGACCAAAAAAAAGAAUGAUAUAUGAAAAAUCCAUAAAGAUUUUGCAUUUUUUCAAAAAAAAAAAAGGAAAAAGAAAAUCAAAAAAGAUUUUGCAUUUUUCAUCCUUUUCAAGGAAAAGACAAAAAAUAUAUUUUCUCUAAAUUAGUUGUUUUCUUUAUUCUCGCUCAUAUCCAAUCUGCCCGAACUACGUAUACCUGAUUCUCGUCUUUCGGGGCGUGAUACGUAGGCAACCCACAUAGGGUCCAGUCUUCCUAGUAAAUCUUAGGUUCUUGACUUUGCUGGGUCUUAGCCAAAUUUUGCACUUCUAGCCAUCUUUUGGCCAAAUAAGCUACUUUGCAAAAUAGCCUAAAUCAUGUCUUGCGUGUUUCCAACAGGAAGGAUUAUUAUCCCACAUAGCGUUCUAGGUCUUUAACCUAUUUGGUUUUAAUUUUCUCAUACAUGUGUGGAUUUACUUACCGGAGUUUGAGCAUGACAGAGCCCAGGACAUCUAGUCAGGAUCGCUCAUUCAGGAGUGGAUUAAAAGAAGAUUUUCUUUUUUUUAUGUCGUCUUUUACCUUUUAAUUUUGUAUAGUAAUGUCGAAGUUUUAUUAUUAUUAUUGUACUUUCUAUUUUGCAUUUCAAAAGAUGUGUAAUAAAUCAAAAAUUCAAAAAAAAAAAAGAUUUUGCGUUUUAUAUUUCCGUUAGUAAUUUUCUUUAAAAUACUAAUUGUAAAAAUGAAAAAAAAAAUUUGAGGUGGUUUUUCCUUUAGGUAAUUAAUAUCUAGAACUACAAAUAAUUUUUUUAUAUUUCCUUUAGUAUAUUAAGACUAAAACUCCAAAAAAAAGAAGAGAAUGUUCUUUUAGUACCUCUUUAAAAAGUUUUCUUUAAGGUAUUAAUUUCAAAAAUACAAAAAGAAUUUCUUUUGAGGUUCUUCUUUGGAAAAUUAAUGAAAAAUUUUAAAAAAAUUUAUUUUCAUUAGAACUUUAGGAUAUUGUACAUAAAAGUAAAAAAAUAAUAUACUUUAUCUUUUGUUUAAAGUUUCUUCCUUUAGACAAUCAAAUUGAAAUCCAAAAAUAUUUUAUUUUAUCUUUUCAUUGCUUGUUUCGAAAUNNNNNNNNNNNNNNNNNNNNNNNNNUAACUCCCAAAGUCGUACAUCACUUUCCAGUACCCAGCUCCACAAAAUGCCUAUCUACCCCUACGAGCUUACCGAAAACCCCCUAGAUCAGGUUUUCGGCCUAAUCAAGCAUUUAAAAAUGAGAGGUUACGGAAGAAGAAAAUCUUCACUCCAUUGGGAGAGUCAUAUACCAGUCUGUUCCAGAGGCUAAGGAAAUUGGACAUGUUGAAGCCGACCUAGAUAGAAAUGCCAAAUCCUCUUCCAAAGAAGUUUGAUUUUUCUCAAAGGUGCGCAUAUUGCUCAGAUGCCCCGGGGCAUGACAUAGAGAAGUGUUGGAAUCUAAAGAUUGUGAUUCAGAAGCUUAUUGAUGCAGGCGACAUUGUCGUGCAAAGUCCAGAUGCAAUAGACACUAGCCAAAGUCCAUCACCUGUGCAUAAUGAGACACAUAUGGUGGGUAUGAUUUGUUUUGAAAAGGAAUAUGAGAAUUCUUCUGAGGUCCUCGGAGGUCCACGUGCUGCGAAACUUUCAACGCUAUCAGAGGUUGAUCCUAAGAACGAGCCGGCAAAAAGAACCCAAAAGCAAUUUGUUAAGAACAAUGUGAUGAAGACUUGUGAAGUUCCUAGUAUUGUUGAUGCAGAAUUCAGUGGCUAAGAUACCGUGCUUGGUAAUUAGAAAGACGCUCUAUUUCUUGGACAGCCGGAGGGGAGCUUUGGUGGCUAAGUUUUUUGUCAUUUCUGUUGUCCGGGUUAUUUCAGGGUUGUAAUCCGGAUAUUGUCUUGUAAUUCAAACCCUUCUAUCCUUUUAUUUUGUCUAGUUCCUUUAGUCGUAGUAUCUCAUUUAGUGUUAUCUAGGUUUGUUUUAGGGUUGUACCCCAAUUCAUUUUGCUUGUUUUGUUGUUCAAACCCUUCCACCAUUUGUCUAAUGCAAUUCUCUAUUUUCUGCUAUUUCUAGUCAUUCUUUUAGUCCCCUUCUUCUUUUACAGUUUUUUUCAUGAUGGUUCUAGUGACAUGACAUGCACAACAUAAUUCUCAGCCUGAUCUUUAAAAGUCAGUUUAGUCAGGAAGAUAUGAGACAAUUUUGAAGAUAAUGGAGACAUUUGAGAGAAAUACAUAAAGCCAUUAUGAGAUCACUUCAAGCCCGAAUUGUGUGAAACUGGG
rnacentral:lncRNA from 1 species